rnacentral:rRNA from 1 species
AUUGAACGCUGGCGGCAGGCUUAACACAUGCAAGUCGAGCGGGGGAGGUUGCUUCGGUAACUGACCUAGCGGCGGACGGGUGAGUAAUGCUUAGGAAUCUGCCUAUUAGUGGGGGACAACAUUCCGAAAGGAAUGCUAAUACCGCAUACGCCCUACGGGGGAAAGCAGGUGAUCUUCGGACCUUGCGCUAAUAGAUGAGCCUAAGUCGGAUUAGCUAGUGGGUGGGGUAAAGGCCUACCAAGGCGACGAUCUGUAGCGGGUCUGAGAGGAUGAUCCGCCACACUGGGACUGAGACACGGCCCAGACUCCUACGGGAGGCAGCAGUGGGGAAUAUUGGACAAUGGGCGGAAGCCUGAUCCAGCCAUGCCGCGUGUGUGAAGAAGGCCUUUUGGUUGUAAAGCACUUUAAGCGAGGAGGAGGCUCUUAAGGUUAAUACCCUUGAUGAGUGGACGUUACUCGCAGAAUAAGCACCGGCUAACUCUGUGCCAGCCGCCGCAGUAACAC